AGUGAACGCUGGCGGUAGGCCUAACACAUGCAAGUCGAACGGCAGCACAGUAAGAGCUUGCUCUUACGGGUGGCGAGUGGCGGACGGGUGAGGAAUACAUCGGAAUCUACUUUUUCGUGGGGGAUAACGUAGGGAAACUUACGCUAAUACCGCAUACGACCUACGGGUUAAAGCAGGGGAUCUUCGGACCUUUCGCGAUUGAAUGAGCCGAUGUCGGAUUAGCUAGUUGGCGGGGUAAAGGCCCACCAAGGCGACGAUCCGUAGCUGGUCUGAGAGGAUGAUCAGCCACACUGGAACUGAGACACGGUCCAGACUCCUACGGGAGGCAGCAGUGGGGAAUAUUGGACAAUGGGCGAAAGCCUGAUCCAGCCAUACCGCGUGGGUGAAGAAGGCCUUCGGGUUGUAAAGCCCUUUUGUUGGGAAAGAAAAGCAGCAGGUUAAUACCCCGCUGUUCUGACGGUACCCAAAGAAUAAGCACCGGCUAACUUCGUG
rnacentral:rRNA from 1 species